rnacentral:rRNA from 1 species
CAGCCGUAAACAAUGUGCGUUAGGUGUGUCGGUAACCACGUGUUACUGAUGCGCCGAAGAGAAAUCGUGAAACGCACCACCUGGGAAGUACGGUCGCAAGGCUGAAACUUAAAGGAAUUGGCGGGGGGAGCACCACAACAGGUGGAGCCUGCGGUUUAAUUGGAUUCAACGCCGGACAUCUCACCGGAUAAGACAGCUGAAUGAUUGUCAAUCUGAAGGUUUUACAUGACUAGCUGAGAGGUGGUGCAUG